CGGCUGGAGGCUGAUGCCUGACGAGGCACCAUGCACUAGGGACAAUCUCUGCUCGUUUUCCACCAGGUGCUACCUCAAACUAACGCCUACUCUGAGCCCGCAUUCGCUAGCUACAGCCGUGGCCAACCAUUGCCCACAUUGGCUUAGGCUGAUGCCUGAUGGGACACCAUGCUUAGAUGAGGAGUGCACGCCGUGGAAGUAAUCUGUUCUACGGUUCCACCCUGAACGGCAGCGGGCUUCCGAGAUCCUCGCCUAUCGAGGUCUUGAAUCCCUACAUGGUGAUCCUAUCCUGAUAUGGAAGACAAGUACUCCAGCCGCUGAUGAAAGUGGCCCAGAAGCACACAUAAUGACGGACGCGGUUUUGAUUUAUAGAGCAUUUGAGGAUCAAAUGAGAUGGAUUCAGUUCUCUAAUUUCGGUUUUGGUUCAGUUUUUUCAUCAUUUCUACUCAAGGUGGCGAAGGGUUUCCUUGUGAUCGGCGCGGCACCAAUCUUCUGGGUGUUAUGGAAGACCAAGAAUAAAUCAUGCUUUAAAUGUGUUCGUCCUGGAGAUCCAACCACUGUAGUUUUUUAUGUUCGUCAGUUCUUAACAUCUUGGGCAACCUUUGCAGAAAGGGGAUCUUUAAGGACUGUUGCGACAGCGAUCCCGUAAGCUGGCGAUGGUGGUGUAGGAAGUGUAUGGGCGUCGACAUAGCUGGAACCAAUAAAUUGCCGUCCUCCUUUUUGUGUUCUCCUGUGUUAGCCUAUUUGGUAUUCUAUGUCCAAUUUCAUUUUUCUCUAUAUGAGAGUUGGCUGUAGUUCGUCAAUUACUGGUCGACGAUGAUGAUGCUCAUGUUACCAAGGAUAUGAUGUAAGGAGUAGUUGUUUAUGC